UUGAACGCUGGCGGCAGGCCUAACACAUGCACGUCGAGCGGAUGAAGGGAGCUUGCUCCUGGAUUCAGCGGCGGACGGGUGAGUAAUGCCUAGGAAUCUGCCUGGUAGUGGGGGAUAACGUCCGGAAACGGGCGCUAAUACCGCAUACGUCCUGAGGGAGAAAGUGGGGGAUCUUCGGACCUCGCGCUAUCAGAUGAGCCUAGGUCGGAUUAGCUAGUUGGUGGGGUAAAGGCCUACCAAGGCGACGAUCCGUAACUGGUCUGAGAGGAUGAUCAGUCACACUGGAACUGAGACACGGCCCAGACUCCUACGGGAGGCAGCAGUGGGGAAUAUUGGACAAUGGGCGAAAGCCUGAUCCAGCCAUGCCGCGUGUGUGAAGAAGGUCUUCGGAUUGUAAAGCACUUUAAGUUGGGAGGAAGGGCAGUAAGUUAAUACCUUGCUGUUUUGACGUUACCAACAGAAUAAGCACCGGCUAACUUCGUG
rnacentral:rRNA from 1 species